GACGUAGGGCGCGAGCGUUGUCCGGAUUUAUUGGGCGUAAAGAGCUCGUAGGCGGCUUGUCGCGUCGUCCGUGAAAACUUGGGGCUCAACCCCAAGCUUGCGGUCGAUACGGGCAGGCUAGAGUUCGGUAGGGGGAGACUGGAAUUCCUGGUGUAGCGGUGAAAUGCGCAGAUAUCAGGAGGAACACCGGUGGCGAAGGCGGGUCUCUGGGCCGAUACUGACGCUGAGGAGCGAAAGCGUGGGGAGCGAACAGG
rnacentral:rRNA from 1 species